rnacentral:lncRNA from 1 species
UCGCAUCGAGCGCAUCCGCUCCACCAGCGGUGUCGUCUCGUCCGCUCUGUCGCCGGGUCCUCCCCCCUUGUACUUCCCGGGGCCCUUCCCGGUCGCGAUGAUCCCUUGGCCUCUGCUGAGGGUCGUUCCAUACGAGCGAACGUCGGGGUGGAGUUCAUAGGCGUCAGAUGGAGUUCAAAGGCAUCGAGGUCGGGGAUUGAAAGCGAGGGGUGGGCGGAGAGAUGCGCCGGGAAAAGUCCUUAAGGAACGGCGUUCACCACGCCGACGCGGUCGUAUGGGGACCAGUGUAUAGAACGCACCUGAGGUCGUAAUACAGGUUCAUGACGAAGAUGACAACCUCCAACCCGUGCCCGACGAGCGGCGGCAGCCACGUCGAUAUGUCCUCGCCUGGGUGGAGUUGAAAGGCGUCAGAAGCGGAGUUGAAAGGCGUCGAGGUGUGUCGGGAUCGAAAGCGAGGGACCCUGGGCGGAGAGGAACGACGGCAAAAGUCCUCAAGGAACGGCGUUCACCGCGCGAACGCGGUCGUAUGGGAACCAGUGUAUAGAACGCGCCCAGGACGAGCUUCUGUAUCGUCGCGCCCAGCCCGCCGCCGAUGCACAGAAAAAACCGCACGUACGACAAGCUCCCGCUGCCCUUGUUUACGUACGAGCUGUACACCUGCGGCAGGUACCGCGUCGCCUCGAGAACGCCGUUGACCACGCCUAGCGUCAUCGCGUACGUCUCAGGGUCGUUUGAUUGGUGGGUGAUGUGGCGG